ensembl:lncRNA
AUGUAUCGAAUUUGUUUAUUCGGUGAUGGACAGACAUCUGUUGUACCAAUCAGUUGGAUUUUUGAUGACAAUGGAACAUUGAAGUGUCGAUGGACAUCAUCACUCUCAAACAUUAAAAACAAUUCUCCACCAAACCCUAACUGGAAGGUUUAUGACAUUGUGAAGAUCGUUGGACCAUCAAUUGGAGACUAUGAUCAAGCAAAUCAAUACAUCUCAGAUUACACAACGGGGGUCUCAGCAGCAGAGGACUCAAUUACUUAUUCAAUGACAGACCCUGCAGUUGUGGAAUUACCUGAGAAGAGAAAAAGGAAAAAUAAGCUCUGUGAUGAAAGUGACAUCAAUUCAGAGACAUCUUCCUGUGAAGAUGAUAUGAACUUGAAGCAGUCAGGAAAUGAAGUGAAGCAAUCUGGUCUGAAGUCAAGAAAUGUCCCACUGCCCAAACCUCCUAUAUACCAUGAUACUCUUCAGAGAAGUGGGAAAAAAGAUGAGGAUGAUCCCAAGCCCACAAGCUCUGAUGUCUCAGAAUUUCAUGAUCUUCAACAACAUCACAUGACUUAUAAAGAAAUUACAGUGCAAACCAGGAUACCAGAUGAUGUGCAUUUAAAGAAGUCAAGAAAUGCAAUGAAGCGAGUUGGUCUGAAGACAAAGAAUGUUCAGCUGGCCAAAACUCCCAGAUACCAUGUAGUCAAGAGUCCACUUAUUCAGAAAGCUCUGUGUGUCAAAACAUCUGGUGACUGUCUGGAUGAUAACAAUGAAAGCCCUGAUGACAGUUAUUUAAACUCAAGCCAGCCCAACCCAGUAUUCUUAGGGAAGGAACCAAAGGAAACAAAAUGCAAAGUCACCAUGGAGAAAUUGUUUGAUCUGAAUACUAAGAUACUCCAACAAAUUCAAAUGCUGGAACAGAGACAAGCUGUCAUCAUGAAUGACUUGGCAAAAGUUAAGUCUGUUCUCAUGAAGCGGGCAGAAGAAGAUGCCCAUGAGGAACUUUUUAAACAACAACAGUGCUCCAGCUUUGAAACGUUUGAAGCCUUCUGUCAGAGGCUUGAAGAAGACAAAAAUUAUCGAGAGCUUUAUGUACACUAUCUCAUCCAUACUCACGGCAGCUCCAAUAUAGGUGAGAUGGUGAGACAGGCUUUAAAAAGCAUAGCGUCAGACAAUGUUCUCUGUCUGUAUAACAGAACGGGGAAAGAUGGGAAGAAGGUGUUGCCACCUGUGCUCCUGACAUGUUUGAAAAAAUGUGUCAGGUCUUUUCACAAACAAAAUGAAAUAGAGGUGAAGAAGCUAAAAGUAACCACCAGAACAACACCAGACGCGGAAUGUAUUCGCCAAGUAGAAAUUUUUUUGUCCAACGCCAACACCAGGCUGAAAAGGAAACCAAAUAAAGGAAAAAGCUGA